rnacentral:rRNA from 1 species
CUUGGUCAUUUAGAGGAAGUAAAAGUCGUAACAAGGUUUCCGUAGGUGAACCUGCGGAAGGAUCAUUACUGAGAUUGGCUUGCCAAACUCCAACCCUUGUGUAUUAUCCUGUUGCUUCGGCGCUCGCGCCGGAGACUUAACAUCUGAACUUCAGUCUGAGUAAACUUAAUAAAGUUAAAACUUUCAACAACGGAUCUCUUGGUUCCCGCAUCGAUGAAGAACGCAGCGAAAUGCGAUAAGUAAUGUGAAUUGCAGAAUUUAGUGAAUCAUCGAAUCUUUGAACGCACAUUGCGCCCACUGGUACUCCGGUGGGCAUGCCUGUCCGAGCGUCAUUCACACCCCUCGGCCUAGCCGGUGUUGGGAGAGCCCGCGCGGCCCCCCAGAAGAUAACGGCCCAGACGCCGCCGGUCCCGGUUGACAGGAGUCUCCCGCGGCAUGCGUCUGGCGCAGAAGCCUAUUAUUUUUGACCUCGGAUCAGGUAGGGAUACCCGCUGAACUUAUGCAUAUCAAUAAGCGGAGGAAAAGAAACCAACAGGGAUUGCCUUAGUAACGGCGAGUGAAGCGGCAUCAGCUCAGAUUUGAAAUCCGGCUCUUUCAGGGCCCGAGUUGUAAUCUGCAGAGGUGUGGAUCGGGUGAGACUUUGGCCUAAGUCCUUUGGAACGAGGCGUCAUAGAGGGUGAGAAUCCCGUACGCGGCCGUCUGUCAACCCCAUUUGAAGCGCCUUCGAAGAGUCGAGUUGUUUGGGAAUGCAGCUCAAAGCGGGUGGUAAAUUCCAUCUAAAGCUAAAUACUGGCGGGAGACCGAUAGCGCACAAGUAGAGUGAUCGAAAGAUGAAAAGCACUUUGGAAAGAGAGUUAAACAGCACGUGAAAUUGUUGAAAGGGAAGCGCUUGCGAUCAGACUUGCCUCUGGUUGAUCAUCCGGUGUUCUCACCGGUGCACUCUGCCUUUGUCAGGCCAGCAUCGGUUUGGGCGGUGGGAUAAAGGCUUGGGGAACGUGGCUCUUCGGAGUGUUAUAGCCCCUCGCGCCAUGCCACCAGUCCGGACCGAGGACCGCGCUUCGGCUAGGAUGCUGGCGUAAUGGUCGCAAGCGACCCGUCUUGAAACACGGACC